AUGUCGUGGUGGAAGAGUUGGUAGCCCUGCACAUGUCCAUCCGAGAAUUACGUCACAGGUGGGCACAAGCCGCAGUCAUUCGCCGGCGCCUCCCUGCAGUCUCAGGUAGCAGCGGCGAUGCGUAGUGCUGUUGCUUUGUACUGAGUGAGCGUGAAUGAACCCUCGUGACGAUGUAUGGUGAUGGACGUGUGGGCCUUUACGUUGUGGAAAUAGAAGGCGCCAUGUUCGACCAGGAUUCCAGGGUGAUCCAGAGCGCCUUCCUGCACGCCAUCCAGCACUACAGUCAAAACACCGCGGGCACGAGGCUUCAGCUUCACGCCUUUGUGGGCAUCAUCAGUAUGGCGGAUGCCUUCAAGAUCUUCAGACUGAGUGGUAACACGGAGAGCAAGUGGAAGAAACCUUGGGAGACUUCCAUGACUCAGGAACAAGCACACCUCACUGGGAGCCUUGUGACUGACAGGUGGUUCAGACCGACUGGGAGACAUGACGUCAGUGACACCACGCAGGGAGUAAAACCAAGAGGAGGAAGAGGAGCAUUCAAGAGACAUCAGCUGGCCAGCAGUCCAUUCAGGAGUGCAGCCUCUACAAGUGGUGGAGGGCAUGGACACUUGGAUAUGGAUGACACUGGUUUGGGUGCCAAAUAUUAAUAGUGCACCUACACAAUUACCACACUCGCUCCUCUCACCAGGCUUAACUAUAAAUAAUUAAAGCAUGGAGGAGUGAGGAGGCACAUCUGUCUGUGAUUAGGGAAUGCAAAUGACGAUGUUCCAAGGACAUCACCCUGUCCUGGGACAUGACAUGAGAGAGAAGAGGAAAAAAGGUCUCUCUCUCUCUCUCUCUCUCUCUCUCUCUCUCUCUCUCUCUCUCUCUCUCUCUCUCUCUCUCUCUCUCUCUCUCUCUCUCUCUCUCUCUCUCUCAGAGUUUCCAUAACACCAAACUGCUCUGGUGUUAAUUUCAUGAGUUGCUGAAUAAUAGAAAUGGGAAUGUUAGUUCAAUGCAUUUAGCUCUGAGUAUGAAAGAAUGACAAGAAAGAAUGCAGAGGACACUAGAACACAUGCACAGAAAACUGAAAGAUUUUUAAACUUUUGAAUAGGUGUAGGAAAAAAAAAAAAAAAAAAAAAAAACUGCAAAAUCAGUGUCUCCUUAAAACAACACAUGACAGCAAUGAUAACUCACACAACAAUAAUGCUUGAUGAAGACUAUAUUUCCAACACAGAUUUAUGAGAACAUUUGGCAAAGCUGUGCACUGUUUACUUGUGUUAAAACUAUGCCAUGAUUUGAGAGGAAAGUUGGUUAGUCAUUAUAGGGUUAAGAUGAUAUAAGGGUGUUUAUUUUAGCUAAUUUCCAAUGACUCCUAAUAUAAGAUUAAAACUUUAAUGAUUAAGUAACUAUUUCAUUGUUUACAUUAAUUUACACCAAAA